rnacentral:rRNA from 1 species
UUCGAUUAUGGCUCGGAAUUGAACGCUGGCGGGAUGUACAUGCAAGUCGAACGGCAGCACGGACUUCCGGUCUGGUGGCGAGUGGCGAACGGGUGAGUAAUGUAUCAAGACGUGCCUAGUAGCGGGGGAUAACUACGCGAAAGCGUAGCUAAUGCAUGCCCUUCGGGGGAAAGCGAAGGGAAUAUUCGGGCCUCACUUUUCUAUUGGAAGCAGCGAUAUCGGAUUAGCUAGUUGGUGGGGUAACGGCUCACCAGGCAGGCGAUCCGUAGCUGGUUUGAGAAGAGGACGACCAGCCACACUGGGACUGAGACACGGCCCAGACUCCUACGGGAGGCAGCGGUAGGGGGAAUUUUGGACAAUGGGGAAACCUGAUCCAGCCAUCCCGCGUGUGCGAUGAAGGCCUUCGGGUUGUAAAGCACUUUUGGCAGGAAAAACGGCACGGGAUAAUACCCCGUGCAACUGACCAGUACCUGCAGAAUAAGCACCGGCUAACCGUGCCAGCAGCCGCGAUAAUACGUAAGUGCAAGCGUUAAUCGGAAUUACUGGGCGUAAAGCGUGCUGAGCGGUUCGGAAAGAAAGAUGUGAAAUCCCCAGAGCUUAGCUUUGGAACUGCAUUUUUAACUACCGAGCUAGAGUGUGCUCAGAAGGGAGAGUGGGAAUUCCGUAUGCGGUGAAAUGCGUAGAUAUGCGGAGGAACACCGAUGGCGAAGGCAGCCUCCUGGGAUAACACUGACGCUCAUGCACGAAAGCGUGGGAGCAAACAGGAUUAGAUACCCUGGUAGUCCCACGCCCUAAACGAUGUCAACUAGCUGUUGGGGCCUUCGGGCCUUGGUAGCGCAGCUAACGCGUGAAGUUGACCGCCUGGGGAGUACGGUCGCAAGAUUAAAGCUCAAAGGAAUUGACUGGGACCAUACAAGCGGUGGAUGAUGUAAGAUUCAAUUCGAUGCAACGCGAAAAACCUUACCUACCCUUGACAUGUCUGGAAUCCCGAAGAGAUUUGCAGGAGUGCUCGCAGAACCGGAACACAGGUGCUGCGGCUGUCGUCGGCUCGUGUCGUGGAUGUUGGGUUAAGUCCCGCAACGAGCGCAACCCUUGUCAUUAGUUGCUACGAAAGGGCACUCUAAUGAGACUGCCGGUGACAAACCGGAGGAAGGUGGGGAUGACGUCAAGUCCUCGCGGCCCUUAUGGGUAGAACUACCACGUCAUACAAUGGUCGGGACAGAAGGUCGCCAACCCGCGAGGGUAAUCCAGAAACGAUCGUAGUCCGGAUCGCAGUCUGCAACUCGACUGCGUGAAGUCGGAAUCGCUAGUAAUCGCGGAUCAGCAUGUCGCGGUGAAUGAUUUCCCGGGUCGCGUACACCGCCCGUCACACCAUGGGAACGGUUUCUCAAGUAGUUAGCCUAACCGUAAGGAGGCGAUUACCACGGUAAGUUCAUGACUGGGAGUGAAGUCGUAACAGGUAG